UUAUGAGGGGUCUUAGUGUGCCAUCCUAUAAAGUCCUAUCUAAUAGUAAACUAAUUCGCGGGCUAUUUUUAAACUUUUACUUUGCUGCAAUUGGUCCGAGUUCCCAGGAUCUGGUAAGUUGCAAGAAUCAGAAUCAGCAUUGGUGCGCUCUCUCGCGGCUAACGCCGGAACCCUAGUUUUCUCUUUCACUUUUCCCCUCCAGGAGCGCUGUAGUUUCUUUCCGGUUGUCUGAUUCGCCUUGAACUUCUCAGAUCCUAGCGACUCCGGGAGCCAUUUUGUCUGUUAUUGUCCGAUUCAUUCGAGUGCAAAGUCCCAAGUCCGGUGCGUGUGCACCUAGCUUUUGCGUGACCAGGCCUCGGCCUGGCCACUUUUUCUCUCUCACCUCUGUUUGUCGGCCGACCGAAAGUUUUUAGUGCCAAGUUUUAUCAUCGCCUUUUUUCAACAUCUGAGCAUCUCCUGUAACCUGGAAGCCUGGGACCUGUGCCUUGAAGGGCAAUGCUAGCCGCAUCUUGCUAAAACCGCAGUUUUCAAACCCCAUUUUGGGGUUUUACCUAUAGGAUCCAAUGUGGAUUUAGACUGCUAUCCUGUGUGAUAUCCUGCUAUCAUGUGCUGAUUUAGAUUGCUGAUUUAGAUCGUUGAUUUUCUUACAUCCUGUUUGUCUGAACAAAACCCUUGGACCGGUUUCACCACCAGUAUCAUCUUUAGUCUCACCACCAGCUGAGUUUAUUCAUUGUUCUGUCCAACUUUUGUCAGUUUGUAGUCGAAGUUUGUGUCCUUCUGACACCUUUUAGUCCUAUUGGACCUCAGCCCAUUUGUUUAGACCGAACUCACUCUGAGUAGUCUAAUGAGCAUCUGAAUCAGCCCAAAUUUCUGUGAUAAUUUAUUUAAUGCUCAAAGUUCUGUGAUCCCGUGAUAUAUGUUUCUGUGAUAGCUAUCAAGGCCACCGAGCCCUUUCUCAAUAAAGUUUAUCUGUAUUAAAGUUUGUCGUUGAUCUUAUAUUGCCUGCAAUACCUAAAUUUAUUUCUGUAGUA